rnacentral:lncRNA from 10 species
GCGCCGGUGGGCUGGCACUGCUGGUGGACCCAGUACACCCUCCGCAGCCGCUGGCCCGGGUGCUAAGUCUCUCAUUGCCCGGGGCCGGCAGGGCCGGCUGGCUGCUCCGAGUGCGGGGCCCGCCAAGCCCACGCCCACCUGGAACUCCAGCUGGCCCGCAAGCGCCGCAGGCAGCCCCGGUUCCCGCUCACGCCUCUCCCUCCACACCUCCCUGCAAGCUGAGGGAGUGGGCUCCGGCCUUGGCCAGCCCAGAAAGGGGGCUCCCACAGUGCAGCGGUGGGCUGAAGGGCUCCUCAAAUGCCGCCAAAGUGGGAGCCCAGGCAGAGGAGGCACCGAGAGCGAGAGAGGGCUGUGAGGACUGCCAGCACGCUGUCACCUCUCAACACUACUGGCUCGCCCUUGAAUUAUUUCCUGGGCAAAGUCAAGAACCUCUCCGUGCAAAGCCCCGAUUUCAGGGCUUGCCUGCCUGCUUGCAUUGUCUGGCAACCACAGAGAUGAAGAUAACAGAGAUGAAGAAGACAUCAAAGAUGAUGAUGACAAAGAUGAUGAGACAGCGAUCAGCUAGAUGACAAGAGACAGUGAGAUGGCGAUUGACUAGACAGCGAGAGAUGGAAAGAGAGAGAGACAGCAAUCGACUAGGCAGUGAGAGAUGGUGGCUGCAACAGUAAGGAGCUGCUAACACUGCAGCGUUGUAACACUAGCCAAAGACUCUUUUAAGAGCCAUCAUGUUUCCUGAAAGGCGGUGGAGCUGAGCAGAAGGGUGAGCAGCAACAGCACGGCCUCAUGUGAGAUCCACUGCUCCAGCUGGUUGGUCACAAGACCGCAUGCUGGUCCCCUGUGGUAGCCGAACUCACCCCAGCUGGGGGAACAUGGGGAAGACCUUCACCCAGGCCCCAAGCUGUAGAUUCAUCAGGGCCAUUUUGGCUCCUACAAACAGCCUCAACAUGAAGAUGAUGAAAAUGGAGACCUUCAUCGUGAUCCACUUCUAAUUAAUGAAUAGGAGGCUUGGGCCGAACUGGGUGAUCAGACAUCAUACACAGAGAAGGAGCAAGAGAGAGAUUACACAGAGGAGGAACAAGGUGUGCAGCGGACAGCCAGUGCCAAGACCUCAGACACAUGACAAGCAAUAGUAGCCAGAAUCCUGGAGUGAAUAGACAUGGAGAAGAGCUGCCUUUUCUUCUCAACUGACAAGUCACGUGGAGGAAAUAAAUCCCUUGAGGACAGUGAAGAAAUAACUUUGAGAUCACCUUCCCAUCCUUCCGAUUUCUUCAAUGAGAGCUUAAAUGGAUUUUCAAAAAAUCAGAGAGCUUGGACAAAAAGUUGAAACAAGUUCAUAUCCUAAGCAUGAUGAAUAAGCCAUGGCAGCUUACACAGACUUGAAGGCCAACCACCUAUGGGCUAGCACAAAGGAGUUCAGCCUUUUUUGAAGUGGGUGGUUUGACCUCUCUUUAUUGUGGAAGCAAAGCAAAUGGCCCCAAACCAUCUGGAUCUGCUGUUAUCACUAGAGGAAUUAUUGCCCAGAAUGUGGACCAAAGGUUAGAAGACUCCACAUUGGAAUCCUGGGUCCGCCGUUAAAUAAUGAGGAACAAGCACUACCUCAUAGAGAAAUGGAAACUCCAAAAGAUUAAGCAAGAAGCCCAUAGGAACACAAUUAGUAGAGCACUGAAUAAUAUUUCACUGUCCUGAUGUACCAAGUUUAUCCAUUCACCUACUGAAGGACAUCUUGGUUGUUCUAUGUUUUGGCAAGUAUGAAUAAAGCUGCUAUAAAUGUUUAUGUGCCAGUUUUUGUGUGGACAUAAAUUUUCAGUUUAUUAGGGUAAACACCAAGGAGUGUGAUCGCUGGAGAGUAUGGUCAAAGUAUGCUUAGUUUGGUAAGUGGCUGUACCAUUUUACAUCCCCAUGAGCAAUGGAUAAAAUUUCUUGGUGCUCUACAUUUUCCACAGCAUGUUCUGGAUUUUGACCACUCUAAUUGGUAGGUAGUGGUAUCUCGUUGUUUUAACUCACAUUUCCCUGGUGACAUAUGAUGUAGAAGAGAAUCUUU